AACGAACGCUGGCGGCAUGCCUAACACAUGCAAGUCGAACGAGACCUUCGGGUCUCUUGGCGCACGGGUGCGUAACGCGUGGGAACCUGCCCUUGUCUUCGGAAUAACUCCCCGAAAGGGGUUCUAAUACCGGAUAGUGUCUUCGGACCAAAUAUUUAUCCACUUGGAAUGGGCCGGCGUUGGGUUGCUCGUUUGUUGGGUAAAUGCCUGCCAAGGCGACGAUCCAUAGCUGGUCUGAGAGGAUGAGCAGCCACACUGGGACUGAGACACGGCCCAGACUCCUACGGGAGGCAGCAGUGGGGAAUAUUGGACAAUGGGCGAAAGCAUGAUCCAGCAAUGCCGCGUGAGUGAUGAAGGCCUUAGGGUUGUAAAGCUCUUUUACCCGGGAUGAUAAUGACGGUACCGGGAGAAUAAGCACCGGCUAACUCCGUG
rnacentral:rRNA from 1 species